UGGCUCAGUGGGUUAAGCACUCGGCUGCUAACUGAAAGAUCAGUGGUUCAAACCCACU
rnacentral:tRNA from 1 species